CGGCGAGUGAAGCGGCAACAGCUCAAAUUUGAAAUCUGUCCCUUUUAGGGACCGAGUUGUAAUUUGUAGAGGGUGCUUCGGGGUUGGUCCCGGUCUAAGUUCCUUGGAACAGGACGUCAUAGAGGGUGAGAAUCCCGUACGUGGCCGGUGGCCCUCCCCAUGUGAAGCCCCUUCGACGAGUCGAGUUGUUUGGGAAUGCAGCUCUAAAUGGGAGGUAUAUUUCUUCUAAAGCUAAAUAUCGGCCGGAGACCGAUAGCGCACAAGUAGAGUGAUCGAAAGAUGAAAAGCACUUUGAAAAGAGAGUCAAACAGUACGUGAAAUUGUUGAAAGGGAAGCGCUUGCGACCAGACUUGCCCGCAGUUGCUCAACCGGCCUUCUGGCUCGGUGCACUCUUCUGCGGUCAGGCCAGCAUCGGUUCGGGCGGUCGGAUAAAGACCUUGGGAAUGUGGCUCCCCUAGGGGAGUGUUAUAGCCCUUGGUGCAAUGCGGCCAGCCUGGACCGAGGACCGCGCUUCGGCUAGGAUGCUGGCGUAAUGGUCGUAAGCGGCCCGUCUUGAAACACGGACCAAGGAGUCUAACAUCUAUGCGAGUGUUUGGGUGUUAAACCCAUACGCGUAAUGAAAGUGAACGGAGGUGGGAACCUUUGGGUGCACCAUCGACCGAUCCCGAUGUCUUCGGAAGGAUUUGAGUAAGAGCAUAGCUGUUGGGACCCGAAAGAUGGUGAACUAUACCUGAAUAGGGUGAAGCCAGAGGAAACUCUGGUGGAGGCUCGCAGCGGUUCUGACGUGCAAAUCGAUCGUCAAAUUUGGGUAUAGGGGCGAAAGACUAAUCGAACCAUUGCUACUAGGUGGUCAAAAGGCGAGCCCUGAGGGCCCGCCUAGUCCCUCACCCGGGGCUACACUACUAAAUUGCGGGGACACCCAGGUCGGCUCAGACAACCGCGGCCCCCCCGAAAGGGAGGAGCGCAGCACCGAGUCCAUUGCUCGGGGGAGGUAACAUCGUCUGAGAUCGGGUAACCGCGCAGCCAAGUCCUAAAGCCCGCCCUGAGCUGGGUAAGGAUGCAGUCCACAGACCAAAUGGUAGUGGGUGCAAGUCAAUUUGCUUGCGCUUAAGAUAUGGUCGAACCGCCCCGAAAGGGGACUGAUGGGAGAAAGUUCAUGGAGCGUGGUGCGGCCCCAAAGGUCGGCUCUGUGAACCCGAGCCCCGUCAGGAAAGUGG
rnacentral:rRNA from 1 species